AACCAAUGGUGAGGGCACAUUCUCAAUAGAUCCUUGUGUCUCUCCCAUGCAUCAUAGAGUGUCUCUAGAUCCAUCUACACAAAUGAAGAGAUAUCAUUCCUCAACUU
rfam:Gossypium arboreum cultivar AKA8401 contig_1996_5, whole genome shotgun sequence.